GAAGAGACGGAGAAAGAGAUUUCAGCCAAAAGAGAGAAACGUCUGGCCAUCCUUUCAGAGGAACUCUCUUCUCUAGAGGGUCUCAUCCAGGAGAUGGACGAAAAGCAGCAGCAGCCGGCAGGUGAAUUCCUCCAGGAUAUUGGAAGCUUCUUACAAGGGCAUGAGAAGAAGAAGUUUGAGAAUCCUGUGGCUUUUCCUCCUGCUCUAAAAUGGAAGAUCUGGGACUUCUGUGAUAUCAGUCCCUUUCUGGAGGGUGUGAUGAGGCAAUUCAGAGGUAAUAGAGAAUGUGUGCAACGAUCUUAAAUUAAAUGUUACAUUGAUCUGAAAAGGUAAAGAAAGACUCCAAGACAUUUGGCAAGUUAGGGCUAGAAAAUAGGGGAGCUGAAGGACAAUGAAACAGCACAUUACCUUAGUCUAACUGGGGCAUUAGUUCAGGGCUUCUUAGGCUAUCUGAUGUAGGGAUCAGCAAUAUUCUUUGUCUAAUGUGCCAGAGACUAGUGUGAUAUUUGUGCCCAUUGAUUCCUACUGCUGUUCUUUCUUUUCUGGAAACUUGCUAGGAACCGGUAAGCAAUGGUUCAUGGCCUGGGACCAGUUCAUGGACCACCACUUUGAGUAACACUACAUUCGUCCAUAUUUUUAAAGCUCUGCUCAUUGCAUUGUACCUGUUGGUACUUCAGACCCUGUAUUAUUAACAGAAGAGAGUGACUGAGCAGUAGGACUGCCAGCAGACCAGGCAACAAACAAGCUGUGCUGAAAUUCCCUUUUCUACACAACCAUUGAAGAGAUAGAAGCCUUCUCACCUGGAAACCUUGUUAAGCAGGCACUCCAAACGAGGACCUUUCAAGGCAGCUUUUCUUGGUGGAAAUACUGUUGUGGUCCAUCACAUGAUACACUGCCCCCCCUUUUUUUCCCCCUGUUUUCCCUCCAUUUGAUUGUGGCAAAAUCAGAUGGGUCAAAAUGACUAAUCUGAACAAAUUUUGUAGCUUCAGUACCUCAUAGUUGGUCCUAGAUGUUGGUCCUAGAGUGACUUUAGUACUUGUAUUUGUACUUCUGCAAAUGAACUGAGGACUGCAAACUGUCUUCACUUUAAUCUGAGAAGUGGCUGGUAUUAUCAUAUAGCAGUCUUAACUACUGAUGCAUUCAGACAGACCUAGCAAUGAUACAGGCAGACCUGGCUUCCUUCUCCUCCUUUCCUUCCAAUGUGAACAAGUUAAGAUUGCCCCCUUCCAUUUAGGCAAUUUACAGCCCCCUUUUAUCUACGCAUCAAAUGUUUCCACUGGCAUAGUGCUAUGGAGACCUCACAUGGCACAUUGUGCACUGAUUGAUUAUGUAUGCAUUGUAUAUUAUGCAUCGAUACAACAGUGCACAUUGGUUGUGCAAUGUCACUAUUGUCUAAUGGCAUAAGACGAAUUAGGUAUAUCCCAUGAGGGUAAAGUUAGAUUACAUCUCUUGGAUGUAGGAUCUCAGUUAUACUGUGUUGCUUUCUGCUGGGUGUCAUCUAGUGCUGAGUCUCUUUCUUUCCUUUCUCUUGUUAAGAAAAAUGCAACAUGGGAUAUACAGUAGAAGAAAUAAAACAUGUAUGUGAAAGUCACAGUGACUAAGC